rnacentral:rRNA from 1 species
CAGUCGCCGCGGUAAUACGUAGGUGGCAAGCGUUGUCCGGAAUUAUUAGGCGUAAAGGGCUCGCAGGCGGUUUCUUAAGUCUGAUGUGAAAGCCCCCGGCUCAACCGGGGAGGGUCAUUGGAAACUGGGAAACUUGAGUGCAGAAGAGGAGAGUGGAAUUCCACGUGUAGCGGUGAAAUGCGUAGAGAUGUGGAGGAACACCAGUUGCGAAGGCGACUCUCUGGUCUGUAACUGACGCUGAGGCUCGAAAGCGAGGGGAGCAAACAGGAUUAGAUACCCGCGUAGUCCCUGUCUCUUAUAC